UGAUUCAAGUUGUUAUCGUCUCUCUCUCACCAAACUGAAAAAACGCGGAAUUGAAACCAACCUUUAUUUAAGUCUCACACCUUACUUGCUACCUUCUUUCUUUUUCACCGUCGCACCCAUUAUUCAUUGCAUCAUCGUUCACUCGCAUCAGAAUCACAGGUUCAGUUUCUGUGGAUUGUUGUAAAAAAUUUCCUUUAGGUUGAAACUUGGAGUGCCGGCUCAGGAUAUUAUGAUGAAUGGAAAUGGUACUCAGACUGAGUAUUGGGGCGAAAGUUCGGGUUCAACUUCCCAUAGCAGUCAGCAGGAUGUGGAGGAUGACAGGAUGAUUGCUCUUGUGCUGUCAGAAGAGUAUGCCAAAUUAGAUGGAGCAGUUGGUCGGCGCCUUACCAACUUGGAACCUGUUCCUCAUGUACCCCGGAUAAAUUCCUUUUUCCCCACUGUAAGUGAUGCCAGUAUGGAUCACCAGCGCCUGCUUCAGAGGUUGAAUGUGUAUGGUUUAUGUGAGGUCAAGGUAUCUGGAGAUGGAAAUUGUCAGUUCCGUGCACUUUCCGAUCAGUUGUAUAGGUCACCUGAACACCACAAGCAUGUUCGCAAAGAGAUAGUGAAACAGCUCAAAGAUCACCGUUCCUUGUAUGAAUGCUAUGUACCAAUGAAGUACAAAAAAUACCACAAGAAAAUGGCUAAAACUGGAGAAUGGGGGGACCACGUUACCUUACAGGCAGCUGCGGAUAAGGUUUGUGGUGCUGUUUUCAAAGAGCUUGUUACUUUCAUAGGAUGCUACCAAGUACCAAUUGAUCAUUUUCUGCAAAGAUAUGCCUUCUAACAUCAUUCAGAGACACUUGCUUCAUCGAAAUUAUGCCACUGUACCAAGCACCACAGCGUGAACUGUGGUUGAGCUUUUGGUGUGAGGUUCAUUACAAUUCAUUAUAUGAAAUCCGAGAUGCACCAAUCCAGCAUAAACCAAAGAGGAAACACUGGCUGUUUUAAGAAAGGCAGAUAUAAGCAUCAUGGUCCUAAGAUGUCGUGCUGUGUAUACAUUUUGUAUCAUUUAUAGGUAAAGGGGAAAGUGUCCAUAAAACGGUCUUUCAACUCUUGAGGCUUUGGCAAGUAGAACUCUUAACUUCCAAUUGAGAAUUGACCCCUUUUCAGAUUUGGAAGAUAUCUUAAUAGCUCACUACUUUCUACUUUUUGUUUGUCAGUUUAUCUUUGCCACUACCUUCACGCCAUUUCAACCACCCUCAUUCACCCGUUGGAUCUUUUGGUGAUCAGCUCCUUGCAUGAUGCAAGAUAUCUAAACAUUCCUCAUCCUUUAUGAACACAAAGUAGCUAUUAAUUAUUCAGUGAGGGCAAACUACAAAAUUGAACGUUGAAAAUUCUAUUUGCCAAAGUAUUAAUGAUACAGUAGGUUGUGGACAUCUUUUUCCUACACAUAAAAGAGGAGGUACCUGGAGGGAAAGAAAUCACUCGUAUGUUUUUCUUUUUCCUGUAUAUUCUUUACAGUAUACUUGUGAUGAUUUUUUUUUUUUAAUUUUAAUUAUGCCCUUUUAGUGGGGGAGAGCAGUCCAUUAUUUUAAUCAUUGCUUUGUAAAGCAGCAAAUCAUGUAUUGGUUUACUAAAUUUGUAAAACUGUUUGAACCUUGCAAAUCAUUUGCUUUUCCCUUAGUCAUAUGCAAUUAGCCUGUAUUAAGUUUUAUCCAA